rnacentral:rRNA from 1 species
UCAGACGAUGCGUCAUGCAUAUCAAUAAGCGGAGGAAAAGAAACUAACAAGGAUUCCCCUAGUAACGGCGAGUGAAGCGGGAAGAGCUCAAAUUUGAAAUCUUCAAGGUUUUACCUUGACGAAUUGUAGUUUAAAGAAGUGUUUUCUGCUGAAGUUUUGGUAAAAGUUCUUUGGAAUAGGACAUCAUAGAGGGUGAGAAUCCCGUAUUUGACCAUUAUUUUCAGCUUUGUGAUACACUUUCAAAGAGUCGGAUUGUUUGGGAAUGCAGUCCAAAAUGGGUGGUAAAUUUCAUCUAAAGCUAAAUAUUGGCGAGAGACCGAUAGCGAACAAGUACCGUGAGGGAAAGAUGAAAAGAACUUUGAAAAGAGAGUUAAAACAGUACGUGAAAUUGUCAAAAGGGAAGCGUUUGACACCAGUGUUGUUUUUCUGAAAAUCAAUUAAAGAACUGUUUAUGCUAAGCUGUUUAGACUUUAUCAGCUAUCUGUUUAGUUUUGAGCUUUUCUUAAUGCACUUUUCAGGUUAACAAGUCAACAUCAAUUUCUUUUGUUGUAAAAGAGUAUUGCGGAAGGUGGCUUGCGAUUUCGUAUAAGUGUUUAUAGCCCUAUACUUCUAGCAGUCGGAGAGAUUGAGGUCUGCAGCGUAGAUCCUUCGGGGUUAGAUAGCACUUUGUGUUAAGUUAUAGCAUUUUCAUAGACAACUUGUUGACUAUGAUUUAGUCAUGUCCGCUUACUCGCUUAUGCUAUUUUACCUACGCUUAGGAUGUUGAAGUCAUCGUAUCGCGC